GUUAUCCUGGCCCUCCUGACUCACAGCGGGGCGGUUAAUGCCAGCCCUGGGCAUGGCCGAUGUCUACACCUUCUCUGAGACAUAGAAGGGUUGAACGAGGCUCGGUGGUGGCAUCCCUGAACAGGUCCUGGUUCGAGUUCCAACUGAGAAAAAUUAAAAUAUAAGGUCCUGGUAGUGCACAAGAUCUUAACGAGGACACCAAGUCCGGACGGCGUUGGUUGGGGGAUGGAGUGAGGUGGGAAGGUGAGUGGAUGCAGAAUGUUCAGUGGGGAUGCCACAUUAGCACAGGGAGCAAGCUCGUUUGCUGGAAAAGACUGGAAACUCCUUCCGACCGGGACUUCUAAUGAAUGAGCGUUCGAGAGAAAAACCGGUGCCAUAAGAGAAAGUAUACGGCAUACACAUCACAUCGUGUCUUUGUGGCUUCGUGGUUCACCUAAGCUCACUAAUGCAUUCCCAUUCCUGGGCAUACUUGCCCUUUAUUUGAUGGAAAGGCAUGCCAUCAAACUUUGACCUGGAUACUAGCAUGGUUUUUCUUUUGAAUUACUAUUAUUUUUGGAUUUACUUAUCUGUGUGUGUCAUUGUUUUGUCUGCAUGUAUGACUGUAUUUCAUGUUCGAGCCUACAAGUGAUUGUGGGCUUCAGUGUGGGUGCUAACAACCUUAUCAGGUCCUUUGUCAGAACAGCAAGUAUUCUUAAUCCCUGAGUGUCUUGAGUAAGCUAACGUGUAGUUAGUAUAACAAGUAGUGUAACAAAAGUUAUGUUUCAUUAUGCUGAGGGUCAUUCACACUCUCAAUUCCUAUGUGGUCCUAAGCCUGUCUCCCCAACACUGCUCACCUGUCUAGGUAUCUUAGCUGAAGGUCAGGUCCAGGCUCUAACAUAAGUCUCUGAUCCUGGAAGGUUCAGGAUCCUAGGGAGACUCUCCAGCUGCAGGGCAAAUCAGGGUGGCUUCUCUCCAGAUGUGCAGGACAGAGCAUUGUUCUUGGUCUCUGCUUACAUACUGUCCAGUAGAUAUGGGGUACUAGGACUGUGUCUGACUAUCUUGAGUGAGCGAUGUCACUGGGUUCUGGUUGCCAGGUGCAGCCUUGGGUGUAGUGGGGUUCCUGACUACGCUAUUUUUACAUGUGGGUCCUAGGGAUCUUAGGUUCGAGGCUUGGUGCUAAACUCCUGCUGAACCCCCUCAGCUCCAUUUUCAUUUCUUUCAUCUCCUUUUUGGGUACUGGCUAAAAGCCUAAGGCACAGUUUCCCUGAGACACAGUUUUCCUGAGGUUCUGUGCUUUCUGGUUUUUUUUUUUUUUUUUUUUUUUUUUACCUCCUUGCCCGACUUAAAAGACAGUUUUCUCAUCUCCUCUUGGAGGCCACAGGUUUUUCAGCUUGUUUAUCCUGUCUUUUUUUUUUCCCCUCUAAGUUUAAUAAAAUUGUUUAUGACCU
rnacentral:lncRNA from 1 species